rnacentral:rRNA from 1 species
CAUGCAAGUCGAGCGGAACAACCCAUCUGAACCUUCGGGGAACGACACCGACGUCGACCCCCGGACGGGUGAGUAAUGCCUAGGAAAUCGAACUGGCGCAGGGGAUAACCAUUGGAAACGAUGGCUAAUACCGCAUAAUACCUACGGGUCAAAGAGGGGGACCUUCGGGCCUCUCGCGUCAGGAUAUGCCUAGGUGGGAUUAGCUAGUUGGUGAGGUAAUGGCUCACCAAGGCGACGAUCCCUAGCUGGUCUGAGAGGAUGAUCAGCCACACUGGAACUGAGACACGGUCCAGACUCCUACGGGAGGCAGCAGUGGGGAAUAUUGCACAAUGGGCGCAAGCCUGAUGCAGCCAUGCCGCGUGUGUGAAGAAGGCCUUCGGGUUCGUAAAGCACUUUCAGUCGUGAGGAAGGUAGUGUAGUUAAUAGCUGCAUUAUUUGACGUUAGCGACAGAAGAAGCACCGGCUAACUCCGUGCCAGCAGCCGCGGUAAUACGGAGGGUGCGAGCGUUAAUCGGAAUUACUGGGCGUAAAGCGCAUGCAGGUGGUUUGUUAAGUCAGAUGUGAAAGCCCGGGGCUCAACCUCGGAAUAGCAUUUGAAACUGGCAGACUAGAGUACUGUAGAGGGGGGUAGAAUUUCAGGUGUAGC